CUGGAUGCUAGAAUACAGUGUUUAAAUGGUCAUUUAACAUACUAUUUUUAAAAAAAACAGUAAUAUUUAAGUUCAUCAAAUUAACCAAUCUUGAAUUAAAACCUAACUGUCCAAAUAUUGAUCAAUAUUUGGUUCACAGGUUUUGUCCAUUUGAUAAAGGUAUUGGUGAGUGCAUACAGAAGGACAAUUUCCCUAAACGUGUUCUAUCUUUUGCCUCAAGAACAUAAAUUAGUGAAAUGAAUGUGAAUCCAUUUUGUUGUACAAUAGGAUGCAACAAACAGCAAGAAUGACUAAUAUAUCUUUAAUGGUAAUGGUUGACAGAAGAAUGUUGACCAAUAGAAUUGCCUGCUAUUAUAUGGAUUUUUUUUAUUGUUCACUAAAGGCACUAAAGCAUGUAGAUGUGGUAUUACACCUCAUCUGAAAGAUUGUUCUUUCAAUAAUACUGCACUUCCUCAGCACUUCUACAUCAGCUUAGAUUGCAAGCUCUUAUCAUUAGCAGUUUCCCAGUCAGAGCGCCAAAAAAAAAAAUCAAACUACAAAAAAUUUAUUGUUUCCAGGAUUGUAGUGUUAGUACAACUUGAAGUGCACCAAAUAAAAAAUGAAAUAAAAUACUUGGUAGAAAAUAAGAAUGAACUUUAAAAGUAGAACAUUAUAUAGAUGUAUAAAAUCCUUGAACAAAAAGAUUGGUCAGUCUCCAGUGCAUAAAUAACAAUGGAAAAUAUCUGUUAUUCCCAUUUACUUCAGAGGUGAGAUUAUAAUCCCUCAGCCGGCUACAAAAUGAAGUAUUGAUUUUUUUUUUCACUUAGUUCAAGGCCACAGGAAGUUCAUGAAUUCAUACAAAACCUUUGGAUACCUGCCACAUUCCAGCUACUGUACUUGGCUCCAAAUGGAUCAUCAGCUGAGCAAUUAUUUUUAAACAAAAACCUCAAAUUUGGAAGAAAAAGAAUCAAGCUCCCAUGUCAUGUAGAGUUUGUAAUGGAAUGAAGUUCAUCACCAUCACUGCUUGAAACACUGCUGUAAUCCCAGAAAACAUGAACAAAUGGCUUAAAGAUUGAUUUUCCAGAAUAAGUUGGGAUCUUGGCAGAGAUGACUGACUCUUCAAAAAAAAAGGAAUGAGAACCAUAAAGUCAAAGAGCUGCACAGACUCGGACUCUUAGGUCCAACUCAUCCAUGCUAACCAGAUAUCCUGGAUUAAUCUACUCUCAUUUGCCAGCAUUUGGCCCAUAU